rnacentral:lncRNA from 1 species
GUCACUGAAAUCUUAAAGAAAGAGGUUUUCAGGAGCACAAGAAAAGGAGAGAUGAUGGACACCAUAAUCCUCGAAGAAGGCUUCGUGGAAGAGGGGGAACCUGACCCAGACCUUUAAGAAUGAAGAUAUUGGAUGGGCUGAUAAAAGCGGAGAUGGUCAUUCUGGGAAGGAAAAUGAGAUGAACGAAAGCUUAGAAGAGAAGGAGGUAACACAUGCUCAGAGGAGGGGGAGGCAGAAGACUGGCCUGGACGGGAGGAGAAGGCGAG